GGCCGGCCAAACCAAGAAGAAAGAAGAACAAAGGGAGAAAAGAAAAACAAAAACCCUAGGUGAAGAAUUUCAAGAGAAAAGUGUGGGAAAUUUAAGGAAACAAGUGACAAAAGGUAAAAUUUCUUGAUUUUGACUUGUGAUCUACCUUUCUCAUGCAUUUCUCCUCAUUUUCCAUGGUUAAAUUACAUGUUGUCAUGAUGAAUUCAUGGCUGGUUGGAAUGGGUAUGGAGAGAGAAUGAUGCUAGAUUGAUUUGAUUCUAAGUUAUGUUAGUGUUUUUAGUUAGUUUACCAUGUCUAGAAACAAAACAACAAAAAAAGAAUCCAUUUUCCCCAUGAAUCUUCAUUGGCCGAAUCUUCCUUGAUGUGUGUGGGUGAUGGAUUGUUAUAAUUUCAAGAGAAAUGGCUUAGAAAAUGAUAAAUAAUGGUGAGAAAAUUAAGUAGGAAAAAUCACGGUAUUAAUGCAACAUUAUUGACCAAAAAUUUUAAGAAGAAAAGUGAAGAUGGUUUUACCAAAUUUUAGGUCAAUUGACUUGUGUUUGGUGAAUUAAGGUAUUGGAAAAGAAAUGGAGCAAUUUGUAGCUAAAUUGGACGCAUUGGCCAAUUAAUCGGGUGAUAAGACGAAUUAAGCCAAUAUUGAGGAUUAGAUGGUUACCAGUGCAUUUUGCAUUCCAUAUCAUGCAUUAGUAGUCUAAAUUAGUUUAAUUUCAAUUUAGUACCACAGUAGUAAGUUUCUCGAUUUUGUACUAUGUCAAGGUGGUGAGUCCUUCGAUAAAGGUAAGGAAAUUGCACCGAGGACCAGUAGUCAGAGUACUUCGAAAAUUCGCACUCUAGACAUUGUGAGUAACCUUACUAUCGUCUUAAUUAUCUAAAGUGGUUUUUAUCCGAUUUUAUGAUUUUAUGGAAAAUGGGUUUAAAUGGUAAACCUUUAUGUUUAUAAACAAAAUGUGUUUAAAUGAAAAGAUUUUAUAAAUUGUCUUGAAACGAAAUAACGAUUUUGAAAAUAGAGUAAUUAGAGACCCCUGAUGUGUUGUAAAUUUAUGAUUUGAAUUGAUGGCUUAUGUUAAUGUGUUUGCAUGACUGGCUGGGUUGUGUUUUUGGUGAACUGUAUGAAUUGUUUUGUUUUACAUUUACAGGCUGGAUAAUAUUAUAUUAGUCAUGUCAUGCUGUCAAAAUUUUAUUGUAUGGUGGAUUUAACCUACUGCAGGGGGCAGAUUUUCUGUGGACCAGCCUAUUAGAGGGGCACGAAAUCCCGAUAUAUUUUACCUCGGUUGGAGAGGCGAGUAGGGUAACUCCCGAGGUAUGACCUUAGAGUUCACUUCACGCUAAACCACCAUGUGAGGGGGAACUCAGCCAACGCCAAGGAAUAACUGUGUUUUCUAAAUAAAAACAUGAUUUACGAGUAUAUAACUUUUUAAUAGCCUUGACGGACUCGGUUCGGGAUAGCCCUCCACCAAGGUAUCCUUGAUAACUGAGUAUGAGAAUAAUUUUUGGCAUGAGCCAAGUUUUAAGAAAUUCAUAAGCCAUGUUAAUUACUCGAUUUAUAUGAAUUAAUUUUAUUUGGUUGAAACAAGAUGAAAGGUGAUGAAUUUCAAUAUGUUAAAUUGUUUUAUCUGUCUCCAUUUACUCGACUUUAGAUGGUUUAGAUGGUAUCUGUUUACUCACUGAGAUUUUAUAAUCUCACCACCCUCAAUUCCCCACAUUUCAGGCUCGGGAUAGUCGGUAGAUAGCCGAUUGCAUCAAGGACUUCAAUUAGCCUUGCAUCGACAAAAUUGUAGGCUCACAGACUUGCACCUUAUUGGUUAGUUGGGGGCCCACGUGUCACUGUAAAAGUAAUUUUAUACUUCAGUUAUCUAAUUUAAAGUAUGUAUGAACAUAUUUAGCUUUUACACUAUGUUUUUGGCGAGUUUCGGUAUUUUCGAAGAAAAAUGAUGAAAAUGCCCCUGUGAGCCAGAAAAUAAUAUUUUAUUAUUUUGGUUUGGAAACGACUUAUGAUUUCUUGAAUUGCGAGAUUUAAUAAUUGUCGCUCACUGGGGAGAUGCGAGAGCUGAUGCUAAGCUUUGCAGGGUUCUGAUCGACAUUUCUAGUUAUGAGUGCCUAUUGGGACGUCGCGGCGGUUGUCAUGGGCCCGAUGAGAGUUUCGGAUCGUGACAAAACUAGAGUUGAAUAAGCAGUUAUUACAACCAUAAGUUUAUCUACAAAAUUUGAGAACAUAUUUCUAAUACUCAGUUUUCUGCUAGUUUUUAAUAUGUCUUUUGAUUGUAGUUUAGUAACUGGUUGAAAGAUAAUUUAAUUAAAGUUUGUAAAUUGAGCUGGUUUGGAGUGUGG
rnacentral:lncRNA from 1 species